GACGAACGUUGGCGGCGUGCUUAAUACAUGCAAGUCAACUGAAGCACCGGUAGUAAUACUGGUGUGGAGGUGGCGCACGGGUGAGUAACACGUAGGUAAUCUGCCUUCAGGUCUGACAUAACUCCGAGAAAUCGAAGCUAAUAUCAGAUGAUGCAGCGGCUUGACAUCAAGACAGUUGUUAAAGCUUCGGCGCCUGGAGAUGAGCCUGCGUCUGAUUAGCUAGUUGGCGGGUA
rnacentral:rRNA from 1 species